AAUGAAGUGCCUGAUUAAAGGGCUACCUUGAUAGGGUAAAUAAAGUAAUUUUUUUACCUUCAUUA
rnacentral:tRNA from 1 species